rnacentral:rRNA from 1 species
GACAGAGGGUGCAAGCGUUGCUCGGAAUCACUGGGCGUAAAGGGCGUGUAGGCGGUGAGGAUAGUCAGAUGUGAAAUCCCUGGGCUCAACCCAGGAACUGCAUUUGAAACUCCCUUUCUUGAGUGCUGGAGAGGAAGGCGGAAUUCCUGGUGUAGAGGUGAAAUUCGUAGAUAUCAGGAGGAACACCGGUGGCGAAGGCGGCCUUCUGGACAGUAACUGACGCUGAGACGCGAAAGCGUGGGGAGCAAACAGG